CUUUUUUUUUUUUUGCUUUUUUUUUUUUUUUUUUUGCUUUUUAGGGCUACACCCAUGGCAUAUGGAGGUUCCCAGGCCAGGGUUGAAUCAGAGCUACAGCUGCUGGCCUACACCAUAGCCAUAGCAAUGUUGGAUCCUCAACCCACUGAUCGAGGCCAGGGAUCAAACCCGGGCCCUCAUGGAUCCUAGUCAGGUUCAUUAACUGCUGAGCCAUGAAGGGAACUUCAGGAAUCACUUUUCAUAACUGGUAAAUACCACAGAAAUUUAUACUAGUGGGAAUAUUCUCAAUCUAAGCUUAUUACUAGAAACAUACUGAUGUUCAAACUAGUCUUUUUUUCCCAAAAUCUAUGAUGACAAGAGACAUAUUUUCAUCCUUGUAGUUAACUCUACAUAAAAGAUACUUCAUAAAUCUAUCGGGGCCUGAUACAGUGUUCUUUGUGGGUCCCCAAAUAGAUGGCUGGAUUUGUUAUUCAAAAUUACCUGUAUCUGAUAUCUCAUGUGUAGAAAAGCAAAAAGCAAGUGAGUAAAAAGUGCUUUUAGAAAUGCUAUCAAUUAGUAUAUGACAUUUUCAUACAAUAUUUUUAAAAUUUUAUAUAAAGGAAGUACGAAUGUGUACCAGUUAUUAAACUAUUCUCUCUCAUUCCCAAACACAUUUUUCUGUACUCUACUUGUCACACUGGGACUCUGCAGACUUUUUUUUUAACAGCUGGUCCUUAUUAAAAAUCUGAACAUAUGCUGGGAAAACUGGACAGCUACAUGUAAAAGAGUGAAAUUAGAACAUUCUCUAACACUGCUCACAAAACUAAAUUCAAAAUGGUCUAAACACCUAAAUGUAAAACCACAUACUAUAAAAACUCUUAGAGGAAAACAUAGAGAGCUCUUUGACAUUAAGUCGCAGCAACAUCUUUUUGGAUCUACCUCCAAGAGUAAUGAAAAUAAAAACAAACAAAUGAGACAUAAUUAAACUCAAAAGUUUUUACACUGCAAAGGAUACCAUAAAAUGAAAAGACAUCCUACGGAAUGGGAGAAAAUAUUUGCAAAUGAAACACCUGACAAAGGAUUAAUCUCCAAAAUAUAUAAUCAUCUUAUGCAACUCUAUAUAAAAAAAAAGUCCAAUCAAGAAGACCUAAAAAGAUGUUUCAUCAAAGGAUACAGAUGGCAAAAAAAAAAAAAUUUAAAAAACUGAAAACAAACAAAAAAAGAUGCUCAACAUCUCUAAUGAUUAGAGAAAUGCAAAUCAAAAAUAAAAUGAGGUAUCACCUCACACCAGUCAGAAUGGCCGUCAUCAAAGUAUACAAAUAAUAAAUGCUGGAUAGGGUGUGGAGAAGAGGGAAAUCUACACUGUUGGCAGGAAUGUAAGUUGGUGCAACCACUCCCACUCCCAGGCACAUGUCUAGAGGAAACCAUAAUUUGAAAAUAUACACACACCCCGAUGUUCACUGAGGCACUAUUUACGAUAGCCACGACAUGGAGGCAAUCUAAAUGUCCAUCAGCAGAAGAAUGGGUUAAGAAGAUGUGGUGCAUAUAUACUACAGAAUACUUCCCAGCCAUAAAAAAGGAAAUAAUGCCAUUUGUAGCAACAUGGACGGACUAGAGACUUUCAUACUAAAUGAAGUAAGUCAGACAAAGACAAAUAUAUGAUGUCACUUACAUGUGGAAUCUUAAAAAAAAGAUAGAGAAGAUACAAAUGAACUUACUUACAAAACAGAAAACAGACUCACAGACUUCAAAAAUGAAGUUAUGAUUACCAAAGGGGAAAGGUGGCAGAGGGGGAUGGAUUAGGGGUUGGGACUGGCAUAUGCACACUAUGGUAUAAUGCAUGGUCAAUUGGAACUCUACUUAAUAUUCUGGAAUAAUUUAUAUGGGAAAAGAAUCUGACAAACAAGGAAGACGAAUGAAGAAUACACUCUGGCUUCUCCGUGUCGUCUUCAUCUAUCAUUACUUCUCUUGACUUUAUACAGAAGCAGAAAAUAAUUACACAGAUGAGUCAAGCUCACCAUUUUUUUUUCCUUCUUUUUUGCGGUCACAUCUACAGCGUAUGAAAGUUCCCAGACCAGGGGUCAAAUCAGAGCUGCUGCUGCCAGCCUCUGCCACAGCAAUGCAGGAUCUGAGCCACAUUUUGACCUAUGCCACAGCUUGCAGCAACACUGGAUCCUUAAGCAACACUGGACCCUGAGCAAGGCCAGGGAUCCAACUCGCAACUUCACAGAGACCAAGUUGGGUUCUCAACCCACUGAGCCACAAUGGGAACUCCCCAAACUUAUCUUUAAAAAAGCAAUUAAGUGGAAGCAUGAAAACAAAUUUCAUGUGGAAUUAAAAGGAAAAAUGUCAGAUGAAGAAGGUGUGGGUGAAUUUAAGUUAUAAAACCUAGGUGACACAACUAGAAGAUACAAUAUAAAGAAAAUUAAAUUUACUCAAUGUGUUUACUUUUAUUUUAUCAUCUAUUUUUACACACUGGCCUAUUGAUUCUGUAAAUUAAUCUUACCCAACUCCUUAAAACCAGAGAUCACAUAAACAUAAAUGAAAUGAGAGAAAGCUGGUAGAUUUAGAUAUCCUUCUGUACAAACAAGUAAUUUCUCACCAACUGUGCUUUUGAAGCAUGGCUUUGUGUUGAAUAUAUUCACCUUGUAAUUUGAUUAUUCCUUAUGCCAUUCACUUCUGUCACCUUAACUAGGAAAACAAAGCAUUAUAUUGCCUCCUCUCUUAAUGGACCAGAGUCCAAGCCCAGGAAAUUGUGUCCUUAAGAAGCACAAUAAUUUGUGAAAAGCCCAUGCCUUUCAAAAGCAUUUUACUAGAACUUGAGGAAAUUCAUGUGGGUGAAUUAUAGGGCAAAAAAGACAGGAUAUUUUAAACCAAUAAAUGUGGAUUCAAAAACUUACACAAAACUUAUAAUCUGAAUAAAAUAAACCUUGGGAGAAAAUUGGCCUCUAAAGAUCCUUUCCCUGGUAAUGUUUCCCAAACAAAAGAGAAAAAUGACCAGCAAAAGCUUUCUUUCUUUCUUUUCUUUUCUUUUUUUUUUUUUUUUUUUUUUUUUUUUUUUGUCUUUUGUUUUUUUAGGGCCGCACCUACGGCAUAUGGAGGUUCCCAGACUAGGAGUCUAAUCAGAGCUAUAGCUGCUGGCCUACAUCCCAGCCACAGCAACACCAGAUCCGAGCUGUGUCUACGACCUACACCACAGCUCACAGCAACGCUGGAUCCUUAACCCACUGAGAGAGGCCAGGCAUUGAAUCCACAACCUCAUGCUUCCUAGUCUGAUUCAUUUCCACUUUGCCACAGGGGAACUCCAGCAAAAGCUUUUUUAAAAAAAAAAUGAAAAGUAUGGGGUUGUUUUUAAUUAUAAGAAACUGUAAAAAAGGAGGGAAAAAAAGCCCUACAAUCCUCCUGACAGUUAAAUCAUAUUUUACAUAAAAGUAAUACAUAAAUAUUAGAAAGUCAGUGAAAUGGUGUUAAAUGAAAACCAAGGUGUUCCCUGGUGGCUCAGUGGGUUAAGGACCUGGCACAUCUGUGCUGUGGUUUGGGUUCCAUCUGUGGUAUGGGAACUUCUACAUGCUGUGAGGUGUGGCCAAAAAAACAUAAAUAAAUAAGAGAGAAAGAAAACCAAAAGCUUCUUCCUUUUCCCAGGAAUAAACUGUCUUGGAAAAAAUGAGGUUUUUUUAACCUUCCAGAGAGAGAAAAAAAAAAAAAGAAUACAAACACAUAUAUUUAUUUUGAAAGUUUUUAAAAAAAAGUGGAGAAAUAGGAGUUCCCGUCGUGGCGCAGUGGUUAACGAAUCCAACUAGGAACCAUGAGGUUGCAGGUUUGAUCCCUGCUCUUGCUCAGUGGGUCAAGGUUCCGGUGUUGCCGUGAGCUGUGGUGUAGGUCGCAGACACAGCUUGGAUCCUGCGUUGCUGUGGCUCUGGCGUAGGCUGGCAGCUACAGCUCCUAUUCGACCCCUAGCCCGGGAA
rnacentral:lncRNA from 1 species